rnacentral:rRNA from 1 species
CCCUUAGAUGUUCUGGGCUGCACGCGUGCUACACUGAUAUUGCCAAUAUGUCAUUCUUAUCCGAAAUGGAUUGGGUAAUCAAGUAAUGAAAUUUCAUGCUUGGAAUCGGUAAUUGCAAUUUUAUCGUGAACGAGGAAUUCCUAGUAAGCACUAGUCAUCAGCUAAUGUUGAUUAUGUCCCUGCCCUUUGUACACACCGCCCGUCGCUGCUACUGAUUGGGUGUUCAAGUGAGAUGCUUAGACCCUUGUUGCAUGGUUCAUUAUUGUGCUCCGAAAGGAAAAAGUUUCAAGCUUGAGUGUCUAGAGGAAGUAAAAGUCGUAACA